AGAUGGUUUGAAUCGUGCUUGGUGGGAUGGUGGUAGCGGGUGUUGGAAUUGCAAGCCGUGAAUAGAGGGGUUGUGGGGUUUAUGGUACAAGUCCAUCAGUAAUCCUUCUCUCGAUACCAGAGUUCAACACAGAUCUCCUCUAAUAAGCUUCAGACUUUGGCCGGACAACAUUCUGAUGUACUUGAAAGUCUUGCACCAAAUGUUAGGAAGCGUGUUGAGGCUUUGAGAGAGAUUCAGGUCUGUGGCUGAUUUUUCUUUAGCGAUGGUUCUUGUGUACCUAGAUUAACUUAUGGGAGUCAUUCUCUUUUCUUGGGUUGCCUGCAGAGUAAGCGUAGCUGCACUUAUGGAGUUUAACGGGUUUGAGUUGA